rnacentral:rRNA from 1 species
CCUACGGGAGGCAGCAGUGAGGAAUAUUGGUCAAUGGGCGGAAGCCUGAACCAGCCAAGUAGCGUGCGGGAUGAAGGCCCUACGGGUCGUAAACCGCUUUUGCACGGUGAUAACACCCUCCACUUGUGGAGGUCUGCAGGUACCGUGCGAAUAAGGGCCGGCUAAUUCCGUGCCAGCAGCCGCGGUAAUACGGAAGGCCCGAGCGUUAUCCGGAUUCAUUGGGCUUAAAGGGAGCGUAGGCGGGCGUUCAAGUCAGCUGUAAAAUCGCGCGGCUCAACCGCGCCCCGCAGUUGAAACUGGACGCAUUGAGUUCACAACAGGCAGGCGGAAUGCGGGGUGUAGCGGUGAAAUGCAUAGAUAGCACGAGGAACCCCGAUUGCGAAGGCAGCCUGCCGGGGUGCGACUGACGCUGAGGCUCGAAGGUGCGGGUAUCAAACAGGAUUAGAUACCCGGGUAGUC